rnacentral:lncRNA from 1 species
AAACAUUCAAUUUUAGUAGCUAGCAAGGUGCUCUCGACUUCGAGUUUUUCUAGGAGAGUUAGGGAGAGAGGAAGAGAGUAGGAAGAGUAGAGAAGAGAGUGAGAAGUAAGGAAUGUGAGCAAGAGGGUAGUGCUGCAAGGUUGUCAUAGAAAAUUUAGUGGAGGUGUUGUCCAAAUAGGGUUGAGUGAAGUCGGCUUACCUGGGCUGGCUCUAUAAUUUUAAGGGGCCUUGGGCAAGUAAGAAGAUAAGGGCUUGUUCAACAAACCUUUUUUAUUAAAAGUCUAUCUGAAACAAUUGUUCUUUUAAUGUUAAAAUUACUUUAUAUAUGACGGAUAGUAAAAAUUACUUUGUAAUAUAUGUAUAAUUCAUAAAACAUAACAAUAUUUUGUUCUCGUUUCUUUUUCUUUUCUUUUUUGAGUAUCGGACAAAUUCUUCUUGGUAACAUCUAAUAUAUUUAGAUAAAUAUAUUGAAUUAUAAAUUUAUAAUUCUAGGCUCUAGCACUGUACAAGCAUAGCGCAUACACAAAACAAAAAAGAAAAAAAUAAAAAUUACUAAUCGAUCAUGGUUGUUGGUGUGUUGCUUAUUGUGAUGGCGUGUGUAUCUGUUGUCCACUGUCCCUACCGUUAUGUAGAAUAAGACUGGAAGAAAGAGUUAUCUACGUUUUGGUUGGUUUGUCGUCUUAGACUUUCAAAUAUUUAUUAAGCCAAAUAGAAAAUUAUUUGUACUAAUUACCUAUAUGAUCUUGGGCUCCCAAACUCUAUGGCCCUCGACGGUCGCACUGUCUGCCCCUCCCUUAGAGCUGGCUCUGCAGCUUACCAUGUGCUUGAAGAAUGGGAAGAGCAGUACGGAGAGCCCUAGAGAGGGGAAGGCGCGGCUGCUUCAGUUGUGGUUGAGAGACGUAAUAUAUGGAAGAAAAUCUGAAAGCUGUCAACUACUCCGA